CUGAGUUUUGAACCUGGCUCAGGACGAACGCUGGCGGCGCGCUUAACACAUGCAAGUCGAGCGAGGCUCCCAGGCUUGCCUGGGAUGCCCUAGCGGCGAACGGGUGAGUAACACGUGAGGAACCUGCCCCGAAGACCGGGAUAAGCCGGGGAAACCUGGUCUAAUACCGGAUGCCCUCACCGGAUCGCAUGGUUCGGUGAGGAAAUGGAUUCCGCUUCGGGAUGGUCUCGCGGCCUAUCAGCUUGUUGGUGGGGUAACGGCCUACCAAGGCGACGACGGGUAGCUGGUCUGAGAGGAUGUCCAGCCACACUGGGACUGAGACACGGCCCAGACUCCUACGGGAGGCAGCAGUGGGGAAUCUUGCGCAAUGGGCGAAAGCCUGACGCAGCUAUCGCCGCGUGCGGGAUGAAGGCCUUCGGGUUGUAAACCGCUUUCAGCAGGGACUGUAUAGUGACGGUAUCCUGCAGAAGAAGCAAGUGGCACACCUAGAGCAGCGACGGG
rnacentral:rRNA from 1 species